rnacentral:rRNA from 1 species
AAAUUGAAGAGUUUGAUCAUGGCUCAGAUUGAACGCUGGCGGCAGGCCUAACACAUGCAAGUCGAACGGUAGCACAGAGAGCUUGCUCUCGGGUGACGAGUGGCGGACGGGUGAGUAAUGUCUGGGAAACUGCCUGAUGGAGGGGGAUAACUACUGGAAACGGUGGCUAAUACCGCAUAACGUCGAAAGACCAAAGAGGGGGACCUUCGGGCCUCUUGCCAUCAGAUGUGCCCAGAUGGGAUUAGCUAGUUGGUGAGGUAACGGCUCACCAAGGCGACGAUCCCUAGCUGGUCUGAGAGGAUGACCAGCCACACUGGAACUGAGACACGGUCCAGACUCCUACGGGAGGCAGCAGUGGGGAAUAUUGCACAAUGG